rnacentral:rRNA from 1 species
AACGAAACGCCGGCGGCAGGUUCACACACGCAAGUUCGACGAGAAACGCCCCGGGCUUCGCCGGGGCAAGUCACAGCGGCGGAACGGGCGCGUCAUCGCGUCGAUAACCUCCUCUCAGAGCGCGGGAACAAAUCGCGGGAAAACUCGCGGCUAAUACCGCACGUUCUUCGGCCCCCGCAAGGGGGCCAGAAGAAAGCUCGGGUUCGCCCGGGCGCCUUCGGAUGGGUCUGCGUUGGAUUAGCUUGUUGGUGAGGCAACGGCUCACCAAGGCAACGAUUCCAUAGCUGGUCUGAGAGGACGAUCAGUCACACUGGGACUGAGACACGGCCCAGACUCCUACGGGAGGCAGCAGUGGGGAAUCUUGCACAAUGGGGUCACCCCUGAUGCAGCCAUGCCGCGUGGAGGAAGACACCCCUAUGGGGCGUAAACUCCUUUUCUGAACGAAGAAACCCCUGUAGGUUCAGGGCGCGACGGUAGUUCAGGAAUAAGCACCGGCUAACUCCGUGCCAGCAGCCGCGGUAAUACGGGGGGUGCAAGCGUUGUCCGGAAUCACUGGGUGUAAAGGGUGCGCAGGCGGGGCAGCAAGUCGGAUGUGAAACCCCAUGGCUCAACCAUGGAGGUGCAUUCGAAACUGUUGCUCUUGAGUCCCGGAGAGGUUGCCGGAAUUCGUGGUGUAGCGGUGAAAUGCGUAGAUAUCACGAGGAACACCAGAGGCGAAAGCGGGCAACUGGACGGGUACUGACGCUCAGGCACGAAAGCGUGGGGAGCAAACAGGAUUAGAUACCCUGGUAGUUCACGCGGUAAUCGACGAAGGAUAGCAGUUAUCCUGCCUGAGGGACAGUGAGUACGGUCAAGCUUUAAGCGUUCCACUUGGCGAGUACGAUAGCAAGGUCGAAACUCAAACUAAAAGACGGGGGAUCGGACAAGCGGCGGCGCAUGUGGAUCAGUUCGAUGCAACGCGACGAGCCAUACGUAGGACCGUACGUAAUAGGACCGUUCUUGUCAGGGAGCUUCCCAUUGGCUGCUCGUAGCGAGGUGACGCAUGGCAGUCGUCAGAUGGUGUCGUGAGAUGGAGGGGAGAGUCCCUCAACGAGCGUAAUCAUCGUCCGUAGUUACCAGCGGGUAGUGCCGUGGACUCUACCGAGAACGCUUGCGCAAGCAGUGAGGACGAGGGGGAUGACGUCAAGUCAUCAUGCUCGUUAUGCCGAGGGCUGCACACGCUGGUACAACGGUCGGUACAACGAGCGGCCACGUCGCGCGAGGGAGCGAAUCUAUCAAAGACCAUCGUAAUGGGGAUUGGGGUGUGCAAAUACGACUCCAUCACGCGCGAAUGGAUCGUAAUCGCGGAUCAGCAAUGCCGCGGUGAUCUUCGUGCCCUGGCUUCCUACACACCGCCCGUCAAGCCAGAGACGCUACGAGCACCCAAAGUCCGUGACUCAGCUCCGCCACUGCGCUGGAGCGGGAGCGGCCGAAGGUGAGGUUAGUGACUGUGGUU